UCAUGUUGUGACGCCUUCAUUUUUUCCUUUUUUCUUUCUUUUCUCUUCCUUCCCUUUUUUUUUUCAUUCUUCUUUUUCCUCUUCUCUUUUCUCCACUUCCUCAGCCUUACUCCUGAAAACCCUAACUCUAUCCCCUUUUUUUUACAAUUCCAACCCAACAAUUGAUCAAAAAUCUCAACGUUGCAGAUUCUAGGGACCAAGCCCUUUCUCUACUCACUGUUGCGCUAAACCACUUUGAUCUGGCAAUGAAGCUUUCGUCUCAUAAAUAGGCCAAGGACAUUUUUCCUCUCUCAAUUCUUCUUCCACCCUCGAACUCUUCCCCUACCUUUCUGACCUCCAGCUUUCUCCUCAUAGCCUCGUUAGGGGAUUUCCUAUUGACUGAGUUUCAAACCCUAAUUCUUUCCAAUUUUGUAUGUUUUUGUUUAUUUUAUAUGUUAUUCUUUCCUUAAUCUUGCCAUUUUCCUGAGAUGCAUUGCCUUUUGGUUGCUCUAAUUUCAUUUUGUGAGCUUGCUAUGCUAUUUCUAGGAGAAAGUGGCUUUAGCUCACAUUAUGGUAAAGAGAACAUGCUUAUUUGCAAUGGUAUUGGUUCUUCUUAUGGUUGCCAUCUCUUUACGAGUUAGCUGAAACAUUCGAACCAUCUGGUUGUGGUGUGACAGUGCAAGAUGCUCUCAAGGGAAAUUCCAUAUAAAAUACAGAGGAUAGCCUAUUGGGGUUGAAGUAUGAUCCUGUACCGAUUUGGGGUUAUUUUGACGUAUGCUCGUUUGCUCUACAUUAUUCUUCACAUUGAAUAAGGACCUGUACUAGAAUGGGUUGGUUUACCUCUUGUUGUAGUUAAAGGCAUAGCUAGACAAACACGAAUAAAGAUGAUGACGCAAAGGCACAAAGUGGAGAGAGAAGCAAACAUUAUGCCAAAAUUGGAUGGUCAAAGAAUCAGGAAAUUGCCAAGACUAACCCAAAGCUUGCAGCCAUGAACAAGAAAUUUGGAAUGAUUCAUGGGUUAUCUUCACUUGCAAGAAUUUUCAAACUCAUUUGUUUACUUUUGUACAUUGGAUUGAAUGCUGGUUGUAUACAUUUCGACUAAAUGUUAGUGUAUUUUAAUUGUUGUAUCGAUUUUUGUAGUGAAUAUUCAACCUUUAUUUUAAUUUUAAUUUUAUAUUUUUAGUUGUAUUUAAA